GUGGCUUUACUGAUGACAACUAGAAACACACAGGAAGGGGUGGCAAGAGUCCUCUGUCCACUGUGCCUGUUCUCAGGACCGCAAGGAGAGCCGUCUGCUGAAGGAGACUCUGGAGCUCCAAAGGCCCAGGCCAAGGGGGAGGGCCCACCACCCAAGGGCCAAGGGAGGUCUUUGUGGAGUCGAUGUCCCCUCCCCUUCCAUCUGGACUUCUUGACCACAAUACAGUGUGCAGAGGUGACGCUGAGGAAGCUUCCAGGCCGGGAUCUGCGGAAACGGGCAGCCGCCGCUCCCUCCAUCCCGGGGUCCAGCCCCGGCUGUGAGGGGCUCUCAGUGGCUGGGGAAAGACCACGCGGAGUGGCGCUGACAGCCCGUGCCCCUCGCCCGCCCAUAGAUGAGGAACACUGAGGCUCCGUCGGUCCAGAUAAUAAGAGCAGCCAACAGCCAGACGGCCGUGGCCAGGCGGCGCAAGUGAAGGGCUCCCUGAGCAUCCUGCUUCCCAUCCUCAGAGGGACGCUACCCAGAAGAGUUGUGACUCGCUGUCCUUUACGGCCCAGGCUCCGAAGGUGACACCUGGCCUAAAGUGGUC
rnacentral:lncRNA from 1 species